rnacentral:rRNA from 1 species
CACGUAGGGGGCAAGCGUUGUCCGGAUUUAUUGGGCGUAAAGAGCUCGUAGGCGGCUUAGUAAGUCGGGUGUGAAACCUCCAGGCUCAACCUGGAGACGCCACCCGAUACUGCUGUGGCUAGAGUCCGGUAGGGGAGCGUGGAAUUCCUGGUGUAGCGGUGAAAUGCGCAGAUAUCAGGAGGAACACCAGCGGCGAAGGCGGCGCUCUGGGCCGGUACUGACGCUGAGGAGCGAAAGCGUGGGGGGCAAACAGG